UAAGGAAUAUUGGUCAAUGGACGCAAGUCUGAACCAGCCAUGCCGCGUGAAGGAUGAAAGCCCUCUGGGUUGUAAACUUCUUUUAUCUGGGAAGAAACCACUUUUUUCUAAGAGUGUUGACGGUACCAGAGGAAUAAGCACCGGCUAACUCCGUGCCAGCAGCCGCGGUAAUACGGAGGGUGCAAGCGUUAUCCGGAUUCACUGGGUUUAAAGGGUGCGUAGGCGGAUUCUUAAGUCAGUGGUGAAAUCUCUUGGCUUAACCCAGAAAUUGCCAUUGAUACUGUAGGGCUUGAGUAUAGUUGCCGUUGGCGGAAUAUGACAUGUAGUGGUGAAAAUACAUAGAGAUGUCAUAGAACACCGAUUGCGAAGGCAGCUGACGAAACUAUAACUGACACUGAGGCUCGAAAGUGCGGGGAUCAAACA
rnacentral:rRNA from 1 species